ensembl:lncRNA
AGCCCACCCACCCUGGAGCUCUGAGCUAGCAGGAUGGGUGAGUGGGAGAGGCAAGCAGGGGCCAGCCAGGGAGCGCCGGGCAGCACUCUGCUUGCCUCAUCACGUGAAGAUGAGCUAAGUUUCUUGCAGAACAAAAGCUGAAAAUAAACAACCCCCCAAAUUCAGUGGCUGACAACCGUGAACACUUAUUCGACUCACAGGUGGCUCCACUGCACUGCGAGAGGACCAGUGGAAAUAUACAAUGCCUUUUAAGACUUGGCUUGGAACUAGAUCACUGUCACUUCCAGCCAUCAUCCAAUGGCCAAACCAAAUCACAUGACCAAACCCUCCAUCAUGGGAUAAGGGAGAGGCACUGCCUCAAGGGAGAGGGGAGGGAAUAUUUGCUGAGCGAUAAUCCAAUCUAUUAAAGCAUGUAAAGCCCCUGGCAC